UACAGAGGCCUCGAGCGUUAGGCGGAAUCACUGGGCUUAAAGCGUGUGUAGGUGGAUGCCUAAGUACUUUGUGCAAUCCCACGGCUUAACCGUGGAACUGCUGGGUAUACUGGGCGUCUUGAGCCACUCAGGGGCUACCGGAACAAACGGUGGAGCGGUGAAAUGCGUAGAUAUCGUUUGGAACGCCAAUGGUGAAAACAGGUAGCUGGGGGUGUGCUGACACUGAGACACGAAAGCCAGGGGAGCAAACGGG
rnacentral:rRNA from 1 species